CCUUACAGGAAGUGGCCUGUCUGACCAUUUCUUGCCCUCCUUGAUCAUCUCUAACAAAUACAGGGGAUCUCUGGCAUGACGUGACACUUCCUACGGCUCCCAUGGGCUCUCAGAAGGCGGGAAAAAGCUGAACGAUGUAAUUCCAUCCCCAGGCUGAAACACAUUAGCGCGUUUGGCAAGUGCUCUAUCAGAGGGCCAUUAGACUGAGGCUCGUGCAUGAGGGGAUAGCAUGCUUUUACUUUCACUCUCUUUGUAAUAAAAAACGAUUUCCUGGUCAGAAUAUUAUCGCUUUUUUACGAGAAAAAUGGCAUAAAAAUAGAUUUUAAACAGCGGUUGACAUGCUUCGAAGAACGGUAAUGGAAUAUUUAGAAUUUUUUUGUCACGAAAUGCGCCAUGCUCGUCACCCUUCUUUACCCUUCGGAUAGUGUCUUGAACGCACGAACAAAACGCCGCUAUUUGGAUAUAACAAUGGAUUAUUUGGGACCAAACCAACAUUUGUUAUUGAAGUAGAAGUCCUGGGAGUGCAUUCUGACGAAGAACAGCAAAGAAGGACCUGAGCCCCAGGACCAUGUCUCAGGACUAUCUGGCUUGAUGACUCCUUGCUGUGCCCAGUCUACCUGCUCAUACUGCUGCUCCAGUUUCAACUGUUCUGCCUGCAGCUAUGGAACCCUGACCUGUUCACCAGACAUGCUACCUUGUCCCAGACCUGCUGUUUUGGACUCUCUCUCUACCGCACCUGCUCUGAAUGCUUUGCUAUGAAAAGCCAACUGACAUUUACUCCUGAGCUAUCAAGGCCUAGUACUGUGCUGAUCUCCCUGGACGGUGGGUCCUAUCAAGGCCCAGUGCUGUGCUGAUCUCCCUGGACGGUGGGUCCUAUCAAGGCCCAGUGCUGUGCUGAUCUCCCUGGACG
rnacentral:lncRNA from 1 species